rnacentral:rRNA from 1 species
GACGAACGCUGGCGGCGUGCUUAACACAUGCAAGUCGAACGGAAAGGCCCUGCUUGCAGGGUACUCGAGUGGCGAACGGGUGAGUAACACGUGGGUGAUCUGCCCUGCACCUCGGGAUAAGCCUGGGAAACUGGGUCUAAUACCGGAUAGGAGCCAUUUUUAGUUUGAUGGUUGGAAAGUUUUUUCGGUGUAGGAUGAGCUCGCGGCCUAUCAGCUUGUUGGUGGGGUAAUGGCCUACCAAGGCGGCGACGGGUAGCCGGCCUGAGAGGGUGGACGGCCACAUUGGGACUGAGAUACGGCCCAGACUCCUACGGGAGGCAGCAGUGGGGAAUAUUGCACAAUGGGCGCAAGCCUGAUGCAGCGACGCCGCGUGGGGGAUGACGGCCUUCGGGUUGUAAACUCCUUUCGCUAGGGACGAAGCUUUUUGUGACGGUACCUAGAUAAGAAGCACCGGCUAACUACGUG